rnacentral:snoRNA from 1 species
UUGCCAGCCUCCAGCGUGCUUGGGCCUGCAGUGACACUGUGCAUUCCUACAGUGCCUGCGCGAACAGGUUUGAAAUGGUUUGAGGCCUUGCUCUGCUCCGUUACAGAGCAAGGUAAUAGAAAUUCAGACAGUG